GGCAAUGUGGUCUAGUGGUUUGAGCGUUGGACUAGGACUCUGGAGAGCAAGGUUCGAAUCCCGGCUCAGCCA